rnacentral:rRNA from 1 species
CGUUGACAUAUGCCGGAUCGGCGCAGAGAUGCGUUUUCCCUUGUGGUCGGUAUACAGGUGGUGCAUGGUUGUCGUCAGCUCGUGUCGUGAGAUGUUGGGUUAAGUCCCGCAACGAGCGCAACCCUUGUCUUGUGUUGCCAGCACGUUAUGGUGGGGACUCGCGAGAGACUGCCGGGGUUAACUCGGAGGAAGGUGGGGAUGACGUCAAAUCAUCAUGCCCCUUAUGUCCAGGGCUUCACACAUGCUACAAUGGUCGGUACAGUGGGUUGCUACACCGUGAGGUGACGCUAAUCCCUUAAAGCCGGUCUCAGUUCGGAUUGGAGUCUGCAACUCGACUCCAUGAAGUCGGAGUCGCUAGUAAUCGCAGAUCAGCAACGCUGCGGUGAAUACGUUCCCGGGCCUUGUACACACCGCCCGUCACGUCAUGAAAGUUGGUAACACCCGAAGCCAGUGGCCCAAACUCGUUAGGGAGCUGUCGAAGGUGGGAUCGGCGAUUGGGACGAAGUCGUAACAAGGUAGGCGUAGCGAG